CACGUAGGGUGCGAGCGUUGUCCGGAAUUAUUGGGCGUAAAGAGCUCGUAGGCGGUGUGUCGCGUCGGCCGUGAAACCUGCAGCUUAACUGUGGGCGUGCGGUCGAUACGGGCAUCACUGGAGUUCGGCAGGGGAGACUGGAAUUCCUGGUGUAGCGGUGAAAUGCGCAGAUAUCAGGAGGGAACACCGGUGGCGAAGGCGGGUCUCUGGACAGUUCCUGACGGUGAGGCAACGGAAGGUCAGGGGAGCAAACGGG
rnacentral:rRNA from 1 species